UACGAAGGGGGCUAGCGUUGUUCGGAUUUACUGGGCGUAAAGCGCGCGUAGGCGGACAUUUAAGUCAGGGGUGAAAUCCCAGGGCUCAACCCUGGAACUGCCUUUGAUACUGGAUGUCUGGAGUUCGGGAGAGGUGAGUGGAAUUCCGAGUGUAGAGGUGAAAUUCGUAGAUAUUAGGAAGAACACCAGUGGCGAAGGCGGCUCACUGGUCCGGUACUGACGCUGAGGUGCGAAAGCGUGGGGAGCAAACAGG
rnacentral:rRNA from 1 species